AUUUAAAGCUCUGAAUAUUUUAUUGAAAAGGACAAUGAAAAUUAUAAUAUGGAGGAUGUAGCUAAUAGCUUUAAUAAUUUUUUUGUAAAUGUUUGACCAGACCUGGCUAAACAAAUCCCUGAUCCAGGGACAUCUGGA